UAACAAAGAUCAGAGAAGACAAGGGUGUUACAUAAUGGAAAAGGGAUCAAUGCAAUAAGAAGAGCUAACUAUCCUAAAUAUAUAUGCACCCAAUACAGGAGCACCCAACA